rfam:Lentinula edodes NBRC 111202 DNA, contig: scaffold1605.
GCUUCCUUAGCUCAGUCGGUAGAGCGCCAGUCUCAUAGCUGAUUAUGAGCAGUGGCAUACUGCGAAAUCUGGAGGUCGCAAGUUCGAGACUUGCAGGGAGCA